CGCUGGGGAAUACCGAAUGGCGGGGCCGAGCCACGGGGUGGCUGUACGGUCGGGCUCCGGAGGGGAACGGGAAAAGGGAGAUGUGUCCCCUGGCGCUGUCCCCUCCGGCCACCCCAUCCCUGCUGAAAGAGCAGGAGGAGGCUCGGGGCGGGCAGUUGGAUGCUAUUUCAUUGCAAUAUCGUGUUCUCCCAGUUCUGCAGGUCACGGGGUUGGAGGAUGAAAUAAAGGACAUGACCAAACGCAGGAUCAAACAACAAGAAGGCUGAAUUUUUCAGGAUCAGCUGAAGUAUUCUUUCAGAUAAGUACCUUAGCUUUCUUUGAAAAAAAUCCAGUUCAUAUGCUGGAAAAAACUGAUCAUUAUUUGCAUCCAAAAUGUAUCAAAGUUCAUAAAUAGCACCAGAAUAAAUAAUGCAUACCAGUAUGGUGGUUUCAGAUCAUAUAAAGAACUGUCAGACCCACUUUGUCUAGGAGAAAAAUUGAAACACAGACAUUAAAACACUUGACCAAAGGCAUGAAGCACAAGUUGAAUGCUACUAAUUUGUAUGUGCUGGUACUGCAAGUGUCAAACUUUUUGACUAUUUUGAAGUGCUUUGAAAUGUGAAGAUGUAAUAUUUUCUCUCCUUUUUUAAAACAUGGAGAGGAAAAAUAACUGCUAAGGCUUGUGGGUGGGUUUACUUCCUAAGAACUUCUUACUGAUUUACAACAGUUUGUGAAGUGGUUUUCUUAGUGUCAUUCAAAGCAGAGUAAAGGAACAAGUUGAACUUGCAUUUUCAUUUUCAGCCCUCAACCUUUUAGAUUAGCCUGUAAAAACAAGAAUCAAAAAAUAGGAUAAGCAGUGCAAAAAUAGGCUGGGAUUCUCAUCACUCCUGUUUGAGGGCAUUUUCCUUCUCUCCCUCUUGUCCUCACCCUGCCUGCUCACCCUCCCUCACUGUCUUGGCAACAAGAUUCACUGGCUGACUGUAGCUCACUUGUCUUCUACCCCCUCAAACCAAUUAGUUCAUCUGUUUAAAUCAUGCAUCGAAGAAGCCUCUCCCUUUUGAGCACACAGCUCACUUGGGGCUCACUCCUAUAACCUUCAAUUUUUAAGGCAGCAAGAGUUUGCAAUUGACUCAGAUUACAUGAG